GCCUCGGUAGUGUAGUGGUCAAGACGUUCCAAUAGACGCGUGGCAAUCAAGAGGACUUGGGUUCAAUCCCAACUGAGGUA
rfam:Asian citrus Psyllid, Diaphorina citri - Florida Strain, whole genome shotgun sequence.